rnacentral:rRNA from 2 species
GCUAGUACAUGCAAGUCGAACGCGUUGGCCCAAUUGAUUGAUGGUGCUUGCACCUGAUUGAUUUUGGUCGCCAACGAGUGGCGGACGGGUGAGUAACACGUAGGUAACCUGCCCAGAAGCGGGGGACAACAUUUGGAAACAGAUGCUAAUACCGCAUAACAGCGUUGUUCGCAUGAACAACGCUUAAAAGAUGGCUUCUCGCUAUCACUUCUGGAUGGACCUGCGGUGCAUUAGCUUGUUGGUGGGGUAACGGCCUACCAAGGCGAUGAUGCAUAGCCGAGUUGAGAGACUGAUCGGCCACAAUGGGACUGAGACACGGCCCAUACUCCUACGGGAGGCAGCAGUAGGGAAUCUUCCACAAUGGGCGCAAGCCUGAUGGAGCAACACCGCGUGAGUGAAGAAGGGUUUCGGCUCGUAAAGCUCUGUUGUUAAAGAAGAACACGUAUGAGAGUAACUGUUCAUACGUUGACGGUAUUUAACCAGAAAGUCACGGCUAACUACGUGCCAGCAGCCGCGGUAAUACGUAGGUGGCAAGCGUUAUCCGGAUUUAUUGGGCGUAAAGAGAGUGCAGGCGGUUUUCUAAGUCUGAUGUGAAAGCCUUCGGCUUAACCGGAGAAGUGCAUCGGAAACUGGAUAACUUGAGUGCAGAAGAGGGUAGUGGAACUCCAUGUGUAGCGGUGGAAUGCGUAGAUAUAUGGAAGAACACCAGUGGCGAAGGCGGCUACCUGGUCUGCAACUGACGCUGAGACUCGAAAGCAUGGGUAGCGAACAGGAUUAGAUACCCUGGUAGUCCAUGCCGUAAACGAUGAGUGCUAGGUGUUGGAGGGUUUCCGCCCUUCAGUGCCGGAGCUAACGCAUUAAGCACUCCGCCUGGGGAGUACGACCGCAAGGUUGAAACUCAAAGGAAUUGACGGGGGCCCGCACAAGCGGUGGAGCAUGUGGUUUAAUUCGAAGCUACGCGAAGAACCUUACCAGGUCUUGACAUCUUGCGCCAACCCUAGAGAUAGGGCGUUUCCUUCGGGAACGCAAUGACAGGUGGUGCAUGGUCGUCGUCAGCUCGUGUCGUGAGAUGUUGGGUUAAGUCCCGCAACGAGCGCAACCCUUGUUACUAGUUGCCAGCAUUAAGUUGGGCACUCUAGUGAGACUGCCGGUGACAAACCGGAGGAAGGUGGGGACGACGUCAGAUCAUCAUGCCCCUUAUGACCUGGGCUACACACGUGCUACAAUGGACGGUACAACGAGUCGCGAACUCGCGAGGGCAAGCAAAUCUCUUAAAACCGUUCUCAGUUCGGACUGCAGGCUGCAACUCGCCUGCACGAAGUCGGAAUCGCUAGUAAUCGCGGAUCAGCAUGCCGCGGUGAAUACGUUCCCGGGCCUUGUACACACCGCCCGUCACACCAUGAGAGUUUGUAACACCCAAAGUCGGUGGGGUAACCUUUUAGGAGCCACCCGCUUCAGG